ensembl:lncRNA LINC02805 long intergenic non-protein coding RNA 2805
CUUUCCAGACAGACUCCGGGGCCCUCAACUGGUCUCCGACCUUCCCCUGCAACCUGCGACACCUGCCAUUUUCCCAUCUUAGGCUCCAGAAGCAGAAUCAAGUGGGAUGUCUUGGAAGAAAAACAAACAAAAGGCCCACUAGGUGGAGUGAAAUGGAUCAGGAGCAAUUAUGUUCAAUUUCACCUUUAAGUUUUCUCAAAAGGAGGAGCAUUAAGAAUCAGCCACCUUAGUACAUACUUAAAGGCUAGCACACAUGAUUUUUUCUGCUUGCACUUCAGGAGAAGAUAGUCAUUGGACAAAAGGUGGGUCAUUCUCACGUUGACCAAGUUUCUGUUCCAGUAUCACCCUCCCAGUCCACAGGUCGAGAGGAACCAUACUUGAAGAAACAUACCUGAAGGGUUUCAUCCAUAUGUGGGCCUGAUUUGGAUGAUAAAAUCCUGCAUCUUGAGCCUGAUCUUGAUGCUGCCUGUGUUCUGAUGCCAUCAGGAGUUGAGAGUCUAGGGGUUUUAGAAAGGGUGAAUGUAUUUUCCCAUAGGCAAGGAACAUAAUCAAUGGCCAAAAUGUGCACUGUGACAGAUUAAAGGUUGCUACAAAUUCUCUGAUACCCUUCCAUUAAGAGGUAGGGCAGAUAUUCCCUCCCCUCAAAUCUGGGUGGGCUCCAUGACUUGCUUUGAUCAACAGAAAACGGCAGCAGUGAUGCUGGGCCAGUUGUUGGAUCCAGGCCUUAAGAACCAACAACUUCCACUUAAGUUCUCUUGGAACACUGAGUCCCUGACUACCCUAAUAUCAUGUUGGAAAGGCUACAUGUAGGCACUCUAGUUGCCAGUCCCAGCCAAGACCAGCUUUUCAGCCAUCCCCAUCACUAAAUUUGUAAAUGAAGCCAUCUGGAAUCUCCAGACCAGCUCAUUUGGCAGCUGGGUAUCAUCAAGUUAUCUCUGCUGACUCCACAUGGAACAAAGGAAUCACCCAGCUGAGCCCUAUUCAAACUAUUGACCAAAAAAAUAGUGAGACAUAAUAAAAUGAUGUUUUAAGCCAGUAA